GACGAACGCUGGCGGCGUGCCUAAUACAUGCAAGUUGAGCGCUGAAGGUUGGUACUUGUACCAACUGGAUGAGCAGCGAACGGGUGAGUAACGCGUGGGGAAUCUGCCUUUGAGCGGGGGACAACAUUUGGAAACGAAUGCUAAUACCGCAUAAAAACUUUAAACACAAGUUUUAAGUUUGAAAGAUGCAAUUGCAUCACUCAAAGAUGAUCCCGCGUUGUAUUAGCUAGUUGGUGAGGUAAAGGCUCACCAAGGCGAUGAUACAUAGCCGACCUGAGAGGGUGAUCGGCCACAUUGGGACUGAGACACGGCCCAAACUCCUACGGGAGGCAGCAGUAGGGAACCUUCGGAAAUGGACGAAAGUCUGACCGAGCAACGCCGCGUGAGUGAAGAAGGUUUUCGGAUCGUAAAACUCUGUUGGUAGAGAAGAACGUUGGUGAGAGUGGAAAGCUCAUCAAGUGACGGUAACUACACAGAAAGGGACGGCUAACUACGUG
rnacentral:rRNA from 1 species